ACCAGACGGGUAAGUCCUGUUACGUGCCUGGGGUGCUCCCCUCCAUCGGUUGGCCAAGAGCCCCGGGAUAAUCGACGUAACAGGGGCCGUCUUUU
rnacentral:sRNA from 1 species